rnacentral:rRNA from 1 species
AUUGAACGCUGGCGGCAUGCCUUACACAUGCAAGUCGAACGGCAGCAUGAUCUAGCUUGCUAGAUUGAUGGCGAGUGGCGAACGGGUGAGUAAUACAUCGGAACGUGCCCUGUAGUGGGGGAUAACUAGUCGAAAGAUUAGCUAAUACCGCAUACGACCUGAGGGUGAAAGUGGGGGACCGCAAGGCCUCAUGCUAUAGGAGCGGCCGAUGUCUGAUUAGCUAGUUGGUGAGGUAAAGGCUCACCAAGGCGACGAUCAGUAGCUGGUCUGAGAGGACGAUCAGCCACACUGAGACUGAGACACGGCCCAGACUCCUACGGGAGGCAGCAGUGGGGAAUUUUGGACAAUGGGCGAAAGCCUGAUCCAGCAAUGCCGCGUGUGUGAAGAAGGCCUUCGGGUUGUAAAGCACUUUUGUCCGGAAAGAAAUGGCUCUGGUUAAUACCUGGGGUCGAUGACGGUACCGGAAGAAUAAGGACCGGCUAACUACGUG